rnacentral:lncRNA from 1 species
GAGAAUAGCUCACCAAUUCCAUUUGCUACUUGAAGAUGAAGUGAAGCUCUAAGAUUCUAAAUAAACUAGAAAGAGAACGAGGGCUGGAAGAAGCUCAGAAACAACUCUUGCAUGUAAAAGUCUUAUUUGAUGAAAAGAAGAAAUGCAAGUGGAUGUAAGCACUCUGGGGCCUGGCUUAAUCUGGCAAAGUUCUUCAGACGACUUGGGAGCAAAAUGGCUGCUUGAGCUACUCUGUGUCGUUAAUUUCUUGUUUGCACAUAGGUUCCACUUUGGGCACUGUCUUUUUAAGAGACCAAGGCACAUGCACAGCUUUUAGAAAGCAUACCAACCCUUGUGCCUGUGUGUAUACCGUGGGAACCCUUCUGUAAAUAGAGUUGAAGUGGUUGUUGCAAACAGCCUCCUUGUUUACAGAGAAUACAGGGCCAGUAAGCGAAUGUCAGUAUUGUAACUACAGUCUCCACUUAAGCACAAUGAUAUAAGUGGUUUUGUUUGAAAACUACAGCUAUGUAGCACUUGUGCUACACUGCACCUCUGCAUUGUAAAGGGAUACUGCCAGUGCUCAAAACAAAAUGUGAAAUGAGUCAUUUGGAAACAAGGUGGGGGUGUUAGGGCAACCUCGAGGAUUUGCAGCAUUGAAACUUUCCCCAGUAGUUCUUGGAAAAGCUGACCGCAGAAUUUGGUAGUGUACACUUAGCAUUUGUGAGUGUGUGUGUGUGUUUAAACCAAAAACUAACAGUGUUGCAACAUUGUUGAAAGGGCUCGUGUUUUUCAGUGGUCAUCAACUGCACUCCAUCAAACUCACCUCCAUUUCACCAAGGAGCUCUAAAGUAAGGAGAGUGGGCUUUAUUUAAAUGAACAGCAUUUUAACCAGAUACUUUGUCCUAAUGUAUGUUCCUUUUCUUCAUCUAUUUUUUCAUACUAAAUGUAUUUGAUAGUGGACAUGUUGGAUAUUAUACAAAAAAAUCAUUAAUUCAUUUCUGUUCCAAAACCUUUGAUCAGAACGAUCUGUGGAAGAGUAACUCCAUUUCUAUAUGAGUGUCUCCUUGCUUUAGAUUUCUGGUGAACCCUGUGGUUAUGAAUACUUGUGUGUGAUUUAAAAAAAAAAAGAUAGAUACAUUUUACAUUUCAUCGAAUUGCUGUUCACACUGGAGUAUUAUAUAUAAAUAUAUAUAUUUGAGGCCCAAGGCCUGAAAAAUAUUAGUAUACAACUUGGUAUCUUAGUCUUACUAUGUACUUUUUGAAAGUAUUCCUCGCAGGAGAAAGAAUUUAAAAUACCCA